GGGCCCGUAGCUCAGCUUGGAUAGAGCGCCGGCCUCCGGAGCCGGAGGUCCGGGGUUCAAAUCCCCGCGGGCCC
rnacentral:tRNA from 1 species